GUGUGUCAUUGACAGUAAGAGCUUUGCAUGUUGCCUUCUAUUCUGUUUUUGUAACUGCCUCACUUGAAUCUGAGCGUCCAGCUGAUGUCACUUUCUGGAUGUAUUUUUGCACUGCGCAGCUUCAGGAGUUCCUUCGGCUGGACGGGCUGAAAGAAAAUGUAGGGGCCAGCCCAGUGAUGUCCAGGUUCUGAAUCAGCUGGCUAAGCCGGUUCAUGAUCCGGUACGGUGCCUCACCACCAUCGCGAAGAAAGUCAUUCAGCGACAUCAGCCCGAAGUCUCCUGGUCGCACGCAGUUAACACAAAAAAUGAAAUGCUAUACUCUGGCUCAUUCAGUCUCCGGACCAGCCACCACCGGUUCUGCAGCACUCCGCUUCACACAGUCAGAGGCUCCUGAGUAAGUGUAGUGGCUCAUCAGAGUCCAGCAUAGAAUCCUCCUCAUGCAUGUGUAGCGCCUGCUUGGGCAGCGAGCCAGGGUCUCUGGGCUAGAUGAGCCUGGUGGUUGGAGGAGGUGGAGGUGGAUGCCUCCUCAGGAAGCAUUGGAAGGAGAAGGCUACAGUGUUCCAAUCGCAAGCAGAGCGAAAUCACCCAGAGAGAGAAGACCUGAGCCCCACGCCAGCACAAGCACCGGUGACAACGUGCUCACUGCGCUAGCUAGAGUGCUACAUUUCCUGUCACCUGGGAUCAACGUUGAACACAACUUCCCUUCCGGAAUGGCCUUUAAAUGCCUAGGCACAUUUUUGUCUCUGUAUCUCACCUUCACAAUGGUGUGCAACCAAACGUGUGACAUUGUAUGUUUAGCACUUUGAAAGGUAUCAUGUGAGUGAAUUACAGAGGGGACAUUAUUUUAAACCUGCACUAAGCCUGUUUUCCCAAUAGCAAUCUCUGGCGGCUUGAGUUGUAGCUACAGUUACAGCUAAACGUUUUUCAGCCGAGAAUCACUGUCAGGCAACAGUGAAACAAAAUAAAAAAAUU